GACGAACGCUGGCGGUGUGCUUAACACAUGCAAGUCGAACGCUGAAGCCCAGCUUUUGUUGGGUGGAUGAGUGGCGAACGGGUGAGUAACACGUGAGUAACCUGCCUCCUUCUUUGGGAUAACGCCCGGAAGCGGGUGCUAAUACUGGAUAUUCACUGGUCUUCGCAUGGGGGUUGGUGGAAAGGGGUUUUCUGGUGGGGGAUGGGCUCGCGGCCUAUCCGCUCGUUGGUGGGGUGAUGGCCUACCCAGGCAUUGACGGGUAGCCGGCCUGAGAGGGUGACCGGGAACAUUGGGACUGAGAUACGGCCCAGACUCCUACGGGAGGCAGCAGUGGGGAAUAUUGCGCGAUGGGCGCAAGCCUGAUGCAGCGACGCCGCGUGAGGGAUGGAGGCCGUCGGAUUGUGAACCUCUUUCGCUCAUGGUCAAGCCGCAACAAUGGUUGUGGUGAGGGUAGUGGGUAAAGAAGCGCCGGCUAACUACGUG
rnacentral:rRNA from 1 species